rnacentral:rRNA from 1 species
GACGAACGCUGGCGGCGUGCUUAACACAUGCAAGUCGAACGGAAAGGCCCUGCUUUUGUGGGGUGCUCGAGUGGCGAACGGGUGAGUAACACGUGAGUAACCUGCCCUUGACUGUGUGAUAACUUCAGGAAACUGGGGCUAAUAUCGGAUAGGAGCUCCUGCUGCAUGGUGGGGGUUGGAAAGAUUCGGCGGUUGGGGAUGGACUCGCGGCUUAUCAGCUUGUUGGUGAGGUAGUGGCUUACCAAGGCUUUGACGGGUAGCCGGCCUGAGAGGGUGAACGGCCACCUUGGGACUGCGAUACGGACCAGACUCCUACGGGAGGCAGCAGUGGGGAAUAUUGCGCAAUGGGCGGAAGCCUGAUGCAGCAACGCCGCGUGCGGGAUGACGGCCUUCGGGUUGUAAACCGCUUUCGCCUGUGACGAAGCGUGAGUGACGGUAAUGGGUAAAGAAGCACCGGCUAACUACGUG